GGAUGGUUUUCUUUCUUCCUUGGCAUGAACAAAAGAGGAGACCGUUCUCCUCUCAGGUGAGAGACCUAGAACUAUUUUAGAUUAUUGGGUGAGAGAAAAACCAAAGAGAAGAGAGUCUUCAUCUGAUUUUUCUCUACCAUCCAAUAUCCUCCUCUGAUCCAUCUUCGACAUUAAAAAAGUUUGAGAUGAUCAAAGAAGGAGAUCAAGUCAGAUUUGCCAUC
rnacentral:lncRNA from 1 species